rnacentral:rRNA from 1 species
AGCUCCAAUAGCAUAUACUAACGUUGUUGCAGUUAAAAAGCUCGUAGUUGGAUUUCUGGUGGAUGACGGCAGUGUGGAGCCUCGUUUGUUCCACGCUUCGUUCAUCUGUCAAACUUUGUUACUAACCUUUAUGUGUCCUUCAAUGGACUCUAGGGGCGAAUAACUCGUUUACUUUGAGAAAAUUAGAGUGUUCAAAGCAGGCUAUAUGCCUUGAAUAUGUUAGCAUGGAAUAAUAACAUAGGACUUUGGUUCUAUUUGUUGGUUGUUCGAGAACUGGAGUAAUGAUUGAUAGGGACGGUUGGGGGCAUCCGUAUUCCCAAGCGAGAGGUGAAAUUCUUGGACCUUGGGAAGACGAACAGAUGCGAAAGCGUUUGCCAAGGACGUUCUCU